rnacentral:lncRNA from 1 species
UUGAGCGAAUCCAUUUUGGGUGAAUGUUAUAUACAUAUGUAUAUAUAUAUAUAUAUAUAUAUAUAUAUACAUAUUUGUUUUUCAUGAUUUUGAAUGAAUAGAUGGGUUGUAAGGAAACAAAUUUUUUCGAUGUAUCAUUUUGGGGCAAAAUUGUACCAUUUGCAAAAGCAUACGAAACCGUGCCAGAGAUGCAAUUAUGUUCAAAUUAUUGAUUGGUUAUGUUGUUAUUCCUAUUACGAUUAUAUCAAUUAUUUUAUUAAAAUGAAGAAUACAGCUCAAUCUUAAAGAAAAUCAUGUUGUUUGUAAAUGUAAUGGAAGGCGUUCACACGAAUCACCAUGUCUAAUACUUAGACAAUGAUUUAAAAUUAAUUGUUUCAUGUUUGACCACGUGGGUAAUUUUCACGUUCCAUUCUUAGUGCAUUCUCUUUGAAGGAAGUCUUCAUCUAAAUCAUGAAAGUCUAGUGAGUUGUUCCACAUUCCAAACUCUGUUCAAAUUCAUGGAUUCUACCUGCUGUUAUCACUUUUAAAAACUUUGAAUUACGCACAAUUUGAAAAGAACCCUGGGCCAAUUGAGACCAUAAAUAGGCACCUUGUAAAAAGGGCCGUGGCAUGGGAAAAGGGCAAAAGAAGUAUUCAAAAACAUCCAUGCAUUUAAGUAAAGGAACGGAAAUUUCAACUCUGCCUUCCUUGACAAACAGUCUUAUGCUUUUUACUUCUUUAUCAUAAAAAAAAGAUCUCAAUUAGUGGGAUAACGAUAAGCUUACGUUUACCUGAGUACCACAGUACGUAAAUGAUUCAUAGAUUCACAGUUCCCUUUUUAUUCUUAUCACUAUUAUUAUCUUGUUGUUCAAAUUAUUGCAUUGCAGUGUUAAGUCUCAAAACAAGCGCAUUUGUUGAAUAAAAUAUCAGGUUAUGCACUUUUCAUUUCUAUGAACAACUUGUGAUAAGUGUAUCUAAUACGUUCCUUGUAACAAUAUAGUUGUGUGAGGAGAGCCUUACUGACGUUGACAUGGAUUGCAUUAGUUUCACUCAACUUGAUAUGCCUUCACUACUGUGAAAAAUAUAUGUGUUUAUCCUCCACGAAUGUUCUUAGUUUUCAAACUUGCCGAGUGGGAUUUUUUGGAACUUGUUCUAAUCAAACAAUGCAAACAUUUCAUCAGAGUAUCUGGCCGAAACAUGCAAAUUACUUUCUAGGCCAAGCCUCUUUAAUUCACACGACAGUGACUUCCUGGAGGUACAAUAAACAAUGUAUUAUUUGAAACUUUCAAAUUCCUCGCUUAUAUUUUACUCUGUUUAAACGGCUAUUCUAAUACUUCACAAAGGAACAACAGAAAAAACCCACAGAAAUUGUAAUCCACCAAAAAUUGAACUCGAACAGGGGGGUCAGAGAACAUCACUGUAAAAUCACCUUGCGACGAAUGUGAGGAUUUCGUUCACUUUCGAGGCGAAAACAUUGGACGGAGGAGGACGAGGCUGUGGGUGCUGCCGGGUGUGUGUCAUCGGGGCCUUUGAAUUGCAGCCAAUGACCUAAGUUUCAGAGCACAAAAAUAAAAACGCCAGGCCACCAAGUCAGAAAGCAAGGGGGGAACAUGGCAUAGAUACGACAAAAUAAGAUUGCGGCAGAGGAGCAGGGAUCCAAAAUGGAGUCUUUCUCGUUGGAGAGCGGGCGGCACAAAGUGAAGGAAGAGCGAGAGAGAAGACUGCUGGCUCAGCAUGCAGCAGGGACGCAUGCAAACAGGCCAUUGCAAAGCAAGGCAGAGCAAAGCAGGCAAGGCUGGGGCCCGCCUCCUUUUCCCUCCCGGGAGCUGCUGACGAAGUCGGUUGAGGCGGGUCUGAC